GAGGUAGCCAACACUGUUUAUAUAUAUAUAUAUAUAUAUAUUUAUAUAUAUAUAUAUAUAUAUUUUAAUUGGGGUAGCCCCCAAUAUAUUGGGACAUAUAAAAAAAAGGCAACUCUGUUCCGCAGAGUAGCUGGUGACAUUAUAGUUGCGCAGGAACUUUGUUGACUCUAGAGAACAUCGGGCAAAUUGCACAUCCCCGUGGCGGCGACUUUGCAUGCAGAUGUCAUCCAUAUCAACUUUUGAUGCCAGUUUCUGCGCCUACCAUGGUGACCACCGGUAACGGGGAAUCAGGGCUCCAUUCCGUACAGGGACUCUGAGAAACGGCUACCACAUGCAAGGAAGGCAGCAGGCGCGCAAAUGACCCACUCCCGACGCGGGAAGGUAG